rnacentral:rRNA from 1 species
UUGGAGGGCAAGUCUGGUGCCAGCAGCCGCGGUAAUUCCAGCUCCAAUAGCGUAUAUUAAAGUUGUUGCAGUUAAAAAGCUCGUAGUUGAAUUUCGGGAUCAAUGUUUCGGUCAUGCCGUUGGUAUGUACUGAUAUUAUUGAUUUCUCACCUUCUAAAGAACCGUAAUGCCAUUAAUUUGGUGUCACGGGGAAUUAGGACUGUUACCUUGAAGAAAUUAGAGUGUUUAAAGCAGGCUCACGCUUGAAUACAUUAGCAUGGAAUAAUGAAGUAGGACAUCCGAUUCUAUUUUGUUGGUUUCUAGGAUCGAUGUAAUGAUUAAUAGGGAUAGUUGGGGGCAUUAGUAUUCAAUUGUCAGAGGUGAAAUUCUUGGAUUUAUUGAAGACUAACUACUGCGAAGGCAUUUGCCAAGGAUGUUUUCAUUAAUCAAGAACGAAAGUUAGGGGAUCGAAGACGAUCAGAUACCGUCGUAGUCUUAACCAUAAACUAUGCCGACUAGGGAACGGAUGAUGUUAAUUUUUUAAUGGCUCAUUCGGCGCCUUACGGGAAACCAAAGUGUUUGGGUUC